AUGAUGAGGGCUUUGGUACAUGCCACAGCAGUCCCAACCUCUGGAGGAAUUGGAGAACAAAGAUACCAGCCUGACCUUGCAGGAGAGACAGGAGACCAAGGCCAGCUACACAGACAGAGCCCCCAUGAAAUCUUGACAUCGAUGGCUCUGGCAAGCAUCCGUGGCUGGCAACAUGCUGGAGUGUCCUCAUGCAUCCAACCUGGGAGGAGGACCACUUCUCAAAGGACAUACACAUCAGGAGGGGUUUUCUAACUAUUAAACCUGCAGAAGAAGGAGUCAGGAGUUGCCCAUCUUUGGAAGCACCUAGCAGUGGCUGGAGGACCUGGGAUGCUCUGAGGGACAGUCAGCCAGGUAGGAUGCCUGCCAGGCAGCUGUGAGUCUGAGACUUUACUUCCACACAGAGCAGAUUCCAGAGCCCCCCAAGGAGGAGCAGCUGCAUGGCUGCAUGGAUCUUUCACCUUCUCAGACUGUCCCCUCAUGACUUGGGAAGGCAUAAUUCUUGUGGUUGAACAGGAAUGAGGUGAACGACAGAGGCCCCUGAAGCCACCUAAGAUUGGAGGGCCCCACCUUCCUGCUGGGAACGUCUAUGAGGCCCUUUCCCCAUCCUUCCAGUCCUGUUGACUUGUUUCUUGGGUGACUCUGUGGUUUUUUGCCUCAGUCUAAUUAUGCUCAACAGUGGCACAUGUCAGUAAAAACCCCAUCUGGCUCUCACAUCACAAAAGACUGUAUAUGCCUUGAAAAUUAAUUUGUGCUGAGCUGAGCACAUGCUGCUAAAUCACAGGCCCCCAAAGAGUCAAGGUGACAUGGCAGGAACAGGGAAGACCAGCCGUCAGAACCCUCAGCACCACAGGGCUACACUUCACCUUUAGUUGGGAGGAAACUGAAGGCAUGCUUUCUGUUUAUCCUGAUAUUCAGAGGAAAUGAGGGAGGUUUGGAAACACACAUUGAGACCAACCCUGUGCCAGGCACUGUGUAAGAGGCACUUCCCUCAGAAGGCGUCAUUGCCCAGCAAUUUACAUUUCAUUUCUGCUUGAUUUAAUUGAUGACCCUGUGAAAUAGACCACAAGUCACAGAUUCACUGUCUAAGAAUCUGUAGGCCUUGUGAGCCCCCAAAAUGCUUCAUGGGACAAUGUCAGGCACCUGUGGAACUGCCCCUCCCAACUUCAGAACCUCCCUGUGCCUUUCCUGACCUCAUAAAAUAUUUACAGGGGAGAGAAAACCCCAGGCAGGAUAAGAAGUUUGUGGAAGCUGGUAUUCCAGAAUAGAGAUAAAUAUGAUGUCAAAAAAGGUGUUUUAAAUUUUUUUCAGUGAGUGGGUGGGCAGGUGGGUACAGACACGCCCUUACUUUCUGAGUAAAUGCUUUUUGAGAAUCUGUGAUGCCUGAUUCCUGAGCUGAACAUUAGAGAAACAGUGCUGGUCUAGAUAUGGGGAAAUAUAUUUCUAAAAGUGUGGAAUUGUUCUCAUUUAUAAAAUGCUCAUAUCUGAUAGUUCAGGAUUUUUUGCUUUUUAGGGUUUCACUAAAAUUUAAGGUUACUAAGGAUAAGAAUUCUAGUUAAUACAUAAUUCUGUAUACAAAAUGUGCCAAAAGAUGUGCUAUUAGUGAGAGAAAAAGUAAUUUUGUGUAAUUUAGAAGUUAUCUAAAAGUUAAUUCAAAUUAUGGACUUUAAAAAGGGGUUAUUUAUGAAACAAGGUAGGAAGGAACCAGUAAAUAGGGGAGAGAGAUGUGAAGAACAUUAUGUAUGUGAAGAUGUGUUUUUGGUAUGAAAGGUUGUAGAGACAAUAACUUUGCAUGAGAAAGGAUCGUGUAUGGUAAAUGCUUGUCCUAAAGUAAAAUGUCUGGUUGUUUAAAACGAGGGAUGUUUAGGACAAGUCAGAAAGUCCAAGCAUGUCAUAGAUGGUCUGUGUAAGUAAUGAAGAGGACUUGUGUAAGAAAAGUAGAAUAUACAUUUGAUAAAAGUCAUGGGAAUGUGGAUUUUUGCCUAAGUUUAGUUAAAGGAUUGUUUUAAGUGAGAUAGGAAAAAUCUAGAGGCUUGAACGAGUUGUGGAAGGUUUAUUAAAAAUUAAUUGUUAAAGAGAUUCUGUGUGUGAACACAUUGGCUAAAGUUAAAGAGGAGGACUGAUAAUUAUACUUCACCCAUAUGCUAGCUUGCAAAGGAUCCGAGUUUUUGCUAGUACUAGUAGACACCUUUAUUGGCUGGAUUGAAACUUACCUUACCAGAACAGAGAAGGCUAAUGAAGUUAUAAAGGUUCUCUUAAAGGAAAUAAUCCCCCAGUUUGGGUUACUCUAAAGCCUCCAAAGUGAUAACAGGCCGUCUUUUGUCUCCCAAAAAGCUCAAGGGGUUGCUAAGUUUCUCAGAAUCAAAUACUAUUUACAUUCAGCGUGGAGACUUCAACCCUCCAGAAAAGUGGAAAGAGCUAAUCAAACUCUAAAACAGGUUUUAGCUAAGCUAAGUCAGGAAACAUCACAAACUUGGGUCAGCUUAUCUGCCCAUAGCCCUCUAAAGGAUUCAUAAUUCCCCUAGAGCAAAAAUUAGUAUAAGCCUACAUGAAAUGUUAUACGGAAGGCCAUUUUAAACUAAU
ensembl:lncRNA